ensembl:rRNA 5S_rRNA 5S ribosomal RNA
GUUUGCAGCCAUAGCACCUUGUACUGUAAUCCUGCCAGGUCUCACAAGCUAAGCUGGGUCAGGCCAGGUUGGUACUUAGACCAGAGACCACCCAGGAGCAGGUAGGUGCUGCAGGAG